UACAGAGGCCUCGAGCGUUGUUCGGAUUCAUUGGGCGUAAAGGGUGCGUAGGUGGCGGGGUAAGUCAGGUGUGAAAUCCCGGGGCUCAACCCCGGAACUGCAUUUGAUACUGCCUUGCUCGAGUACUGGAGAGGAGACUGGAAUUUACGGUGUAGCAGUGAAAUGCGUAGAUAUCGUAAGGAAGACCAGUGGCGAAGGCGAGUCUCUGGACAGUUACUGACACUGAGACGCGAAAGCGUGGGGAGCAAACAGG
rnacentral:rRNA from 1 species